rnacentral:rRNA from 1 species
AUUGAACGCUGGCGGCAUGCCUUACACAUGCAAGUCGAACGGUAACGGGCCUUCGGGUGCCGACGAGUGGCGAACGGGUGAGUAAUGUAUCGGAACGUACCUUUCAGUGGGGGAUAACGUAGCGAAAGUUACGCUAAUACCGCAUAUUCUGUGCGCAGGAAAGCAGGGGAUCGCAAGACCUUGCGCUGAUUGAGCGGCCGAUAUCAGAUUAGCUAGUUGGUGAGGUAAAGGCCCACCAAGGCCACGAUCUGUAGCGGGUCUGAGAGGAUGAUCCGACAAACUGGAACUGAGACACGGUCCAGACUCCUACGGGAGGCAGCAGUGAGGAAUUUUGGACAAUGGGGGCAACCCUGAUCCAGCCAUGCCGCGUGAGUGAAGAAGGCCUUCGGGUUGUAAAGCUCUUUCGGCCGGGAAGAAAUCGUAUCAGCUAAUACCUGGUGCGGAUGACGGUACCGGCAUAAGAAGCACCGGCUAACUACGUGCCAGCCGCCGCGGUAACAC